UACGUAGGGGGCGAGCGUUGUCCGGAUUUAUUGGGCGUAAAGAGCGUGUAGGCGGCCAGGUAGGUCUGCUGUGAAAGCUCGAGGCUCAACCUCGAGACGUCGGCGGAAACUAUCUGGCUAGAGUCCGGAAGAGGAGAGUGGAAUUCCUGGUGUAGCGGUGAAAUGCGCAGAUAUCAGGAGGAACACCAAUGGCGAAGGCAGCACGCUGGGACGUGACUGACGCUGAGACGCGAAAGCGUGGGGAGCAAACAGG
rnacentral:rRNA from 1 species